GGUUGGUCCGAGUGCAGUGGUGUUUACAACUAAUUGAUCACAACCAGUUACAGAUUCCUUUGUUCCUUCUCCACUCCCACUGCUCCACUUGACCAGCCUAAA
ensembl:misc_RNA Y_RNA Y RNA